UUUAUAUAUAUUUCAGUGACGUUUUGUGGUUGCAAAACCAUUGCAAAUUUAUUACAAACGUAGACGCGGCACCAAAAGUUCCAUCGGAUAUGGAUUUUGCGUCUUCACGUUAGAGGCACUGACUGUCGUGGAGAAAAACAUCCAAGAUACCUUUUCAGAAAACGGGAACCACCCUUUGGUAACGAAAAGCUGAAAUCAGCUUUCAAGAAGAACAAAAGACUAGUGGUUUCAUCGUAUACAGAAUCCGUCCUCGUCAAGGAAGCGUGUUCAGUGAUCAUGCAAGAGGCGACUGGAUGUAGUUAUAAAGAGGCCACAGAGGCUCUGCAACGAACGGUGGCCAAAUGUAUUUUCACAGCAUAUAGCUUGGCAACAACUCACCGCUCGAGCAUAAAAGAAUAUUGGUCAAGCGCCCUAGCGGAUAGACGUAAAGCCUGGUGAACACAAAGACACUAACAUCCUGCAGAAAAGUUCAACAUGGCUGACAACACCGUACGGUCGGAAGAUGUGUAAGGACAAAAUGGGAUCGUUGCAUUACAGACACCGGUUUACUGUUAACUGUUGAGUUAUCGAUCCGGACAGAACUUAAGUGUACACCACUGCAGUAUGAUGACAUUUAAGUUUUAUAGACUUUCAAGCAUUAGUUACUGUCACACAGCUCCGGACAUUGAAAGUGGAAGGACGGAGAACCACACAGAAACAAUAUCGGCGAAUGAUGAUGCAUAUUUGUUUUAAGUUUCGUGAAAUAGGUACUGUGAAACAGCUCCGGACGUACAACCUUCCUGAAUUUCAAUCUAUUAAGGGGUAAUAAAUUAAUUACGCGUGCACCGCAGUAUGACUGAACACAUUCAUAUUAAGUUUAAUGAAAUUUAAUAAAUAAUUAUUGAUAAACACCUCCGGACAUCGCCAAAAUAAUAUUCCUUCACUGUCUUAGAGGGGUAAAAAGCCAUCAUAAUGGAGGUGUCAUUUUGUCUACUUACAAGAGUUGGUGCAUCCGGAUUAAAUGCGUAUUCUACAUGCAAUAAUAAAUGCAUGCAAAAAUAAAUAUCUUUCUUGCAACAAGCGUAAAUCUACUGCAAAUCUUAGCAAAACAUUUGCAAACGUAUGUGCGUGUGUAUAGUGACGCAAUCAUACGUUUUUCCAUAGAUAAUUUGUUUCUUAAUGACAAUAUGUUUGUAUUGGAUUAAUAAAAUACCUGGAUAUUAUAUGAAUAUAUCAGUUUCUGUUCCGAAUCGCCACCCUGCUUCUUUCUAGCAGCACCAUGUACCUUUUGGGAUCCAAGAUCUUACCCUGUAUUAUACAGACGUACGUGGUCCUUUAUUCAUGGCAGGUGAUGAAUUGCCAAAACAGAACGGCACAAAACGAAACAAAAUACAAAAAGAGUACAAUAAAGCCGGUGUCACCGCUUUGGAACGGUCAAUGUUAACAACUGGGGUUUAAACAGGUUAAUGAGCGCUCAAACUCAUACGUGAAUCAUGAAUAUUCAUUAUACAUACAAGUGUAAAAUAUAGUACUCUUACAUUGUAUUAUAUUUAUGGCUAUAUGGUUGAUAAGAGCGCCUAUGUCUUUUGAAUAAAUGCUUAUAAUGGGAUAA